UAUCACUUAAAAAUUAAUUGAAACAUUAACUUUUGUAUGUUGUUUCUCUGUUUCAGUCUGCAUUCAUGCAGCGAAGCGUUGAGUGGUGCAGCUGGAAGGAAACAGACCGCGACAUAAACCUGUUACUGGGCUGUCCGUGAAGCUAAUAGCAGCUAGCGCUAGCUGACAGGCACGUCCAACUGAGAGGAGACCCUUGGACAAAACCACAACAUCAUGGAGGAACUAUAAUUGUAUACCCCUUCUCAUCUGGGAAUGCCCAGGAUUCCCAGACUGGCUGGGAAUGGCGUUGGCGAAGGGGAUGGGUUUUACUCCUAGAUUCAAUCUUGGAUAAGUAGAAAACGAUAAAGAACAAUAGCUAAUGUCUGGUACUUGAUUUAUUCUGUUUCCUUUAAAAAAACGUUUGCAGACAUCAAAUUAAACAACAUUCUGGCGUGAGAUGAUGUCGUCACUUCUAGGUAACUUAACUCUUAUCUCACAGUCACUAACGCAACCAUUAAACUAUGCUAAAAGCUUUUCCAACAGUAAAAAGCAGAAAAUGGCGUUCUAAAAAAAUGUUGGUUCUCCAAGGUUAAGAACAAUUUAUCGACUGCAUGCACGCCCAUGACAUGGAAGGUCAUGAACAGGAGGUAUGUCAGCCACUUGUGUCUAAAAAUGUCUCAGACUCCCACAAGUUACUUAUCGAGGUUAGCUAAAAAAAA